rnacentral:rRNA from 1 species
CCUACGGGUGGCUGCAGUGGGGAAUAUUGGACAAUGGGCGAAAGCCUGAUCCAGCCAUGCCGCGUGUGUGAAGAAGGCCUUCGGGUUGUAAAGCACUUUCAGUGGGGAAGAAAGCCUUGGGGCUAAUACCCUCGAGGAAGGACAUCACCCACAGAAGAAGCACCGGCUAACUCCGUGCCAGCAGCCGCGGUAAUACGGAGGGUGCGAGCGUUAAUCGGAAUUACUGGGCGUAAAGCGCGCGUAGGCGGUCUGAUAAGCCGGUUGUGAAAGCCCCGGGCUCAACCUGGGAACGGCAUCCGGAACUGUCAGGCUAGAGUGCAGGAGAGGAAGGUAGAAUUCCCGGUGUAGCGGUGAAAUGCGUAGAGAUCGGGAGGAAUACCAGUGGCGAAGGCGGCCUUCCGGACUGACACUGACGCUGAGGUGCGAAAGCGUGGGUAGCAAACAGGAUUAGAUACCCUGGUAGUC